rnacentral:rRNA from 1 species
CCCAGACCCCAUGCCGAACUCAGAAGUGAAACGCCGUAGCGCCGAUGGUAGUGUGGGGUCUCCCCAUGCGAGAGUAGGGAACUGCCAGGC